rnacentral:rRNA from 1 species
GACAGAGGGGGCAAGCGUUGCUCGGAAUCACUGGGCGUAAAGGGCGCGUAGGCGGGUCCGCAAGUCGAUCGUGAAAUCCUUCGGCUCAACCAAGGAAGUGCAUCCGAAACUGCUGAGCUUGAGUACGAAAGAGGAUCGCGGAAUUCCCGGUGUAGAGGUGAAAUUCGUAGAUAUCGGGAGGAACACCAGUGGCGAAGGCGGCGAUCUGGGUCGAUACUGACGCUGAGGUGCGAAAGCGUGGGGAGCAAACAGG